AGUGAACGCUGGCGGUAGGCCUAACACAUGCAAGUCGAACGGCAGCACAGUAAGAGCUUGCUCUUACGGGUGGCGAGUGGCGGACGGGUGAGGAAUACAUCGGAAUCUACUUUUUCGUGGGGGAUAACGUAGGGAAACUUACGCUAAUACCGCAUACGACCUACGGGUGAAAGCAGGGGAUCUUCGGACCUUGCGCGAUUGAAUGAGCCGCUGUCGGAUUAGCUAGUUGGCGGGGUAAAGGCCCACCAAGGCGACGAUACGUAGCUGGUCUGAGUGGAUGAUCAGCCACACUGGAACUGAGACACGGUCCAUACGCCUACGGGAGGCAGCAGUGGGGAAUAUUAGACAAUGGGCGCAAGCCUGAUCCAGCCAUACCGCGUGGGUGAAGAAGGCCUUCGGGUUGUAAAGCCCUUUUGUUGGGAAAGAAAAGCAGCAGGUUAAUACCCCGCUGUUCUGACGGUACCCAAAGAAUAAGCACCGGCUAACUUCGUG
rnacentral:rRNA from 1 species